rnacentral:rRNA from 1 species
AGUUCCUACGGGGGGCAGCAGUGGGGAAUAUUGCACAAUGGGGGAAACCCUGACGCAGCGACGUCGCGUGAGUGAAGAAGUAUCUCGGUACGUAAAGCUCUAUCAGCAGGGAAGAAAAAAAGUCUUUGGCUUUGGACGGUACCUGACUAAGAAGCCCCGGCUAACUACGUGCCAGCAGCCGCGGUAAUACGUAGGGGGCAAGCGUUAUCCGGAUUUACUGGGUGUAAAGGGAGCGUAGACGGCAGCACAAGUCUGAAGUGAAAUGCCGGGGCUUAACCCCGGAACUGCUUUGGAAACUGUGCAGC